CCCCCUCCUUCCCUUCUCUCGCUCGCUCCGGCGAAGGUCACCGCGGUGGUGCGGGGAACGAGCUUUGCGGGUCGGUGGGAAUUGUAGAUAUGCAAGGUGCUGUGCACGGUUGGAUCCCGAGCCCACAUGGAUGGAGGGAGCUGUGCAGGCACCAAAACCUCGGUGGGUUUGGAAGAGCUGAGCUCUGCCCCGGCUCCUGCUGUCCUGCAGCUGUUUGCCUUCAGCAGGAGCUGGGGUUGGGAGGAGGAAGACAUGAGCUGCACGCACCAGCUGCUGUUUGCGGGGAGGAGAGGAGCCCACGGAUGGUUUUGCACCUGUAUUAUGUCUUUUAUUGCUUAAUUCUUGUGAGGCAAAGGGCCCUGCUGGAAUCGGGCUGCUUUGGGAUGGUGCUGCUUAAGGGAGGGGCAAAUGAGAGGUGGUUCUGGUGUGCAGGCACAGCUAUCUGCCCUCCUGCUGUCAGGUUGUCGCUCCUCUGCAAUGCUAUCAAAACAGGAAUAUUUCCUGCAUUUAAUCGUGCUUGGUGCAGUCUGCGUGUCCAUCGCCAUCCAUAGGGAGCACUGGGCUGUGUGUCAUUCCUGCAACAUCUGGUUCUGAGGCAAAAUCUUAGAAAUACUUUCAAGUUUGUAUUUCUGCUUUUGGGGAGGGAGGAGGGUGGAAAUCUCCCCGCAGUUGCUUUGUCUGUGGCAUGUUCUUUAAAUGAGUGGAAGGAAGUAUAACUCACCCUGCUCAAAUCUGGGUGCUGCACUAGGGAAACAGCAAGCUUUCCUUGGUGGGGAAAGAGGAGGGUCUGGGGGUGGGAGGGAGAAGAAACAAGAAGAGCUCCUCCUGGGAGAUGGGCAGCUAUAAAUAACUGCACAUAGACUGAGGGGAGCAGCCCACGUCUGUGCUGGUGUGGGCAUGCUGUGCCUUUUUUUGUUGUUAUUGCUGUUGUUAUCAAUUGCUAAUGUGAAUUCUGGCACUCCAGAUCCUGAUGACUGUUGUUCUGAUAACAUAAUUAAAUCUGCGGAAUGUGAAAGAAGAAACCCAGCUGCUGAGUUGAUGCUGGAGGGGCUGUGUGCGCAUGGAGGGACCAAAGGAACCUUCAGAUGCUUCUGGGCGCAGGUUCCUGACUUGCAGGUACACAGGGAGUAUUGCUGCCCUUAGUUAUGAGUGAGGGGUAAUAGCAUAGAAUCAUAAAGGUUAGAAAAGACCAUUAAAAUCACCUGGUCCAAGGUGACCCAUCCUCAUCAUGCCUGCUGACCACGUACCUCAGUGCCACAUCUCCAUAGUUCUUAAUGCCUCCAGGAAUGGUCACUCCAUCACCUCCCUGGGCAGCUGUGCCAAUGCCUCACCACUCCAGAGAAGAAAUUUUUCCAACUGCCCAACCUGAAGGGAGGUCUGUCCUCCCAGCUGCGAGGGUCAGUCCUGGAAGGUGCUGGCAAAGAGGGUUCCCGCUGCUCUUGUAAAGCUUGGCUCUUGUUGAGAUGAGUCUUACGAGAUGUUUUCACUUUUAAUUUCUGUUUUCAAGUGACUUCGAGAGGUGAUUUGGCCUUGGGUAUGCAUAACAGUUGCAGUGUCUCUAGGCAAGUGAUAAGGGAAGCCUCCAUGAUAAACAUUUGGGGUUGGGGAGCAUAGAGAGGAUCUCUUGCCCAGCUUGGUGGUGGCACCUCUGCUGUCCAGCUUCUGUGGCUGUCAUUGUGUCUGAGCUUCAGUUGCCUUUGAGUAUUUUUCUGUGCCUUCUUGCUGAGGUAUGUGCACAGAAGAACAUGAGGCAGCAGCUGUUAUCUGAGGAAAUCAAUGGCAGGUGUGACCCAGCAAAAACAGCCUAUGUAGAACAAAGCUGGGCUUGAGUGAAAUGGAGUAUGGUGUGGUUGGUGUGUGAAAACGCCUUGCCCUGAGAGGAGAAGGAAGAACUGCACACAGUGACCUGCUUGGGGAACAUUUUGUCUCAAAUUACUUGCUGUUUGGUAUUGAGAAGGACUGGACUGGAAGUGCUGUGGAUUGAGCAACUUUGCACAGAGAGGUGUCUUUCACCACAGUGCAUCCAAGGGCUGCUGCUCUGUUGCCCGUGCAUGUGACUGAGGUGAGGAUGAUGGCUGAAAAAGAAUGUAGGGCACUUUCCAAGCUUGUACCUCUGUCUUCUUGACUGGUUCUUUUCAUCCCAAUUAAAAAAUAAAAAAUAUCACUAGCGCUGUUGAAUAGGAGGAGAAAGAGCAAACAGUUCAGUUAUUGUUACCUGUUUCCUGUUUGUUAUGCUCCGUCAUACAGCUGCACACUUCUGUACACAGCUGCCUCCCGGCUGCCUCCUGUGUCCUUUUAGAAGGAGCUGUUGCAGAAAAUAAAAGUGCUUGCUAACCUGACUUUAAAAAUAAAGACCUAUUACUGCA